rnacentral:rRNA from 1 species
UACGUAGGUGACAAGCGUUGUCCGGAUUUACUGGGCGUAAAGAGCGCGCAGGCGGUCGAUCAAGUCGGCUGUGAAAGCCCCCGGCUCAACUGGGGAGGGUCAUUCGAUACUGAUCGACUCGAAGGCAGGAGAGGGUAGUGGAAUUCCGCGUGUAGCAGUGAAAUGCGUAGAGAUGGGGAGGAACACCGAUGGCGAAGGCAGCCCCCUGGGCCAAUACUGACGCUCAGACACGAAAGCGUGGGGAGCAAACAGG